rnacentral:misc_RNA from 1 species
GAUGAAGAACGCAGCGAAAUGCGAUAAGUAGUGUGAAUUGCAGAAUUCAGUGAAUCAUCGAAUCUUUGAACGCACAUUGCGCCCCCUGGCAUUCCGGGGGGCAUGCCUGUCCGAGCGUCAUUGCUGCCCUUCAAGCCCGGCUUGUGUGUUGGGUCGUCGUCCCCCCCGGGGGACGGGCCCGAAAGGCAGCGGCGGCACCGCGUCCGGUCCUCGAGCGUAUGGGGCUUUGUCACCCGCUCGAUUAGGGCCGGCCGGGCGCCAGCCGGCGUCUCCAACCUUCUAUUUUACCAGGUUGACCUCGGAUCAGGUAGGGAUACCCGCUGAACUUAAGCAUAUCAAUAAGCGGAGGA